UCCCCCGGUGUGAUAGCUCC
rnacentral:miRNA from 1 species